GCGUCAUUAGCUCAGCUGGAUAGAGCGUCGGUCUACGGAACCGAAGGCCAGGAGUUCGAAUCUCUUAUGACGCGCCA
rnacentral:tRNA from 1 species